rnacentral:rRNA from 1 species
GGGGGGGGGGGGGGGGGGGGGGGGGGGAGGCGGGGCGGGGGGGAGGGCCCUGCUUGCGGGGUGGUCGAGGGGCGAACGUGGGCGUAACACGUGGGUGAGCUGCCCCUUGCUGUGGGCUAAGCCUGGGAAACUGGGUCUAGUACUGGAUAGGACCCUGCUGUAGGUUGUGUGGUGGACAGAUUUUUUCGGUAAGGGAUGAGCUCGCGUCCUAUCAGCUUGUUGGUGUGGUAAUGUCCUACCAAGGCGUCGACGGGUAGCCGGCCGGAGAGGGUGGACGGCCACAUUGGGACUGAGAUACGGCCCAGACUCCUACGGGAGGCAGCAGUGGGGAAUAGUGCACAAUGGGCGCAAGCCUGAUGCAGCGACGCCGCGUGGGGGAUGACGGCCUUCGGGUUGUAAACUCCUUUCAGCCAUGACGAAGCCUCUUUUGGGGUGACGGUAGUGGUAGAAGAAGCACCGGCGAACUACGUG